rnacentral:rRNA from 1 species
UACGAAGGGGGCUAGCGUUGCUCGGAAUCACUGGGCGUAAAGGGUGCGUAGGCGGGUCUUUUAAGUCAGAGGUGAAAUCCUGGAGCUCAACUCCAGAACUGCCUUUGAUACUGAGGAUCUUGAGUUCGGGAGAGGUGAGUGGAACUGCGAGUGUAGAGGUGAAAUUCGUAGAUAUUCGCAAGAACACCAGUGGCGAAGGCGGCUCACUGGCCCGGUACUGACGCUGAGGCACGAAAGCGUGGGGAGCAAACAGG